AUUGAACGCUGGCGGCAGGCCUAACACAUGCAAGUCGAACGAGUGGCGGACGGGUGAGUAAUGUCUGGGAAACUGCCUGAUGGAGGGGGAUAACUACUGGAAACGGUAGCUAAUACCGCAUACUAUCGGAUGUGCCCAGAUGGGAUUAGCGAGUUGGUGGGGUAAAGGCUCACCGAGGCGACGAUACCUAGCUGGUCUGAGAGGAUGACCACCAACACUGGAACUGAGACACGGUCCAGACUCCUCCGGGAGGCAGCAGUGGGGAAUAUUGCACAAGGGGCGCAAGCCUGAUGCAGCCAUGCCGCGUGUAUGAAGAAGGCCUUCGGGUGGUAAAGUACUUUCAGCGGGGAGGCGUUACCCGCAGAAGAAGCACCGGCUAACUCCGUGCCAGCAGCCGCGGUAAUAC
rnacentral:rRNA from 1 species